rnacentral:rRNA from 1 species
AACGUAGGUGGCGAGCGUUAUCCGGAUUUACUGGGCGUAAAGGGCUCGUAGGUGGCCAACUAAGUCAGACGUGAAAUCCCCAGGCUCAACUUGGGAACUGCGUCUGAUACUGGAUGGCUUGAAUUCGGGAGAGGGAUGCAGAAUUCCAGGUGUAGCGGUGAAAUGCGCAGAUAUCAGGAGGAACACCGGUGGCGAAGGCGGGUCUCUGGGCAACAACUGACGCUGAGGAGCGAAAAGCGUGGGGGAGCGAACAGG